rnacentral:rRNA from 1 species
GACGAACGCUGGCGGCGUGCUUAACACAUGCAAGUCGAACGGAAAGGCCCUGCUUUUGUGUGGUGCUCGAGUGGCGAACGGGUGAGUAACACGUGAGUAACCUGCCCUUGACUUUGGGAUAACUUCAGGAAACUGGGGCUAAUACCGGAUAGGAGCUCCUGCUGCAGGGUGGGGGUUGGAAAGUUUCGGCGGUUGUGGAUGGACUCGCGGCUUAUCAGCUUGUUGGUGGGGUAGUGGCUUACCAAGGCUUUGACGGGUAGCCGGCCUGAGAGGGUGACCGGCCACAUUGGGACUGAGAUACGGACCAGACUCCUACGGGAGGCAGCAGUGGGGAAUAUUGCACAAUGGGCGGAAGCCUGAUGAAGCAACGCCGCGUGCGGGAUGACGGCCUUCGGGUUGUAAACCGCUUUCGCCUGUGACGAAGCGUGAGUGACGGUAAUGGGUAAAGAAGCACCGGCUAACUACGUG